rnacentral:pre_miRNA from 1 species
CGACCGCACCCGCCCGAAGCUGGGUCAAGGAGCCCAGCAGGACGGGAGCGCGGCGC